GAUGAACGCUGGCGGCGUGCCUAAUACAUGCAAGUCGAGCGAACAGACGAGGAGCUUGCUCCUCUGACGUUAGCGGCGGACGGGUGAGUAACACGUGGAUAACCUACCUAUAAGACUGGGAUAACUUCGGGAAACCGGAGCUAAUACCGGAUAAUAUAUUGAACCGCAUGGUUCAAUAGUGAAAGACGGUUUUGCUGUCACUUAUAGAUGGAUCCGCGCCGCAUUAGCUAGUUGGUAAGGUAACGGCUUACCAAGGCAACGAUGCGUAGCCGACCUGAGAGGGUGAUCGGCCACACUGGAACUGAGACACGGUCCAGACUCCUACGGGAGGCAGCAGUAGGGAAUCUUCCGCAAUGGGCGAAAGCCUGACGGGGCAACGCCGCGGGAGUGAUGAAGGCCUUCGGAUCGUAAAACUCUGUUAUUAGGGAAGAACAAAUGUGUAAGUAACUAUGCACGUCUUGACGGUACCUAAUCAGAAAGCCACGGCUAACUACGU
rnacentral:rRNA from 1 species